CUCCACCACCAUAGCGCCAACCACUCCCCUCCCCUUUUAAUCUCCAUCCGAGGCAGGAAAACUCUAGCCCUCUUCCCUCUGGCCGCCGCCACUCUCUCCUUUCACCCCCACCUUCCUUUUUCGUUUCUCUGUAAGCAAACGAAGAAAUGCCACCGCCACCUCCUCUCCAUGGCGCCGCCGCUACCGGCCGCCCCUCGCCAAGCUGAAGCCACCAGAAUAUCCGCCUUGUCGUCCUCUCCAUCCCCGUUCAAGGAAUCGAGCCGGGGCUCACUCAAUCGACGGUGAAAUCGCCGAUUCCGCCUCCAACUCCGGCGAGUAAUCCAUCAAUUGCGGCCACCCUCGUCCUCCUCCGGCCAAACCGAGAACACCUCCGGCUUCCCCGUGUUCCGGCGCACCUCCGACGCCCAGUCCCUCGUCCUGGUUCAGCCCCAGUCGUCGUCGCCGUCUCCGACCUGAUCUCCUGUGAGCCAUGGCUGCGAGUUCUUUCUCGAACCCGUCCUCGACUGGUUCAAGUUUCGUCCAGACUCGUUUGUUCAACAACAGCAUCAGCAGCACACUGUUCUCGCGGCCGAAUAUGCUUCAAUAGCUGUGGAGCCUUUCUUGUAUCACAACAGCAACAUAGCUCGUAUGAUCCGAUGCUGGGCCUCGACCCGUUUCUCUUCGUCUGCAGCCAUCGCCCCCGCGGCCCAGGAUUUCCCAUCGCCAACGCAGACCGGAUCCGGCCCAGAACGUCAAAGCAUUUGCUUCUUCCCGGAUAGGAUCACGAAGUGGUGUGUGAGAUACGACGAGUUCUCCGACAAGUUCUUCUGCAGCUUUUUACAGGCGAGCCCACCCCUUCACCUAUUUUACUUUUACAUGCUCUUUUGAUCUAUUGCUAUCCUUGUGUUGCGAUUCUGUUGUGUCACGUGUCCUAUCCACCUGUUACCUAUAUGUCCGAGAUACACCUCCUCGCCCUACCUAUUGUUUGUUGUUUGCCAGCUUUGCGAGUCGUAGGCGAGUUUAGGGUCUUGUUGAUAUCUCGAGAUGUUCGGGAUAUCUUGUUGGGAGGGUAUCACAUGCUAUAUCAGUUGUUGGAGAUACACAUGCUUUACUUUAUUGUUAACAACUAAAAUUGUAAGCAGAGGCAUCUGUGAGCCCCUUUGCGAAAGCAUCGGAACUUUGACUUGCUAAUGUCCCCUAGGACCCGAGUUCUUGUUAUCUGUUCCGAGAUUGAGCGCUCUACCCGUACGUGGGGGAGUGGGACCCCCAUCACCCACUACCUUUCCUCGAGUCUGUUUAUUGGGAGCCACAACCUUGGUUUUAUUUGCUCAUAUGCACGAUGCACGAUUUACUUCUGUUGCCUUCGGGUGUUUAUAUUCUGUUCUGUACUCAUAUUGUGGAACGAUUAGCGAUAGCAGGUUGUUCACACUUAGCUUAGCCGUUGGCACAAACCUCUGGGUCCGUAUCGGAGUACGGCCGAACUUCGUCAUGGGUAGCUUAGUUGGGUGGCUCCCAUUAAACUUUCUCUUGCAUUGGGAACGGUCUUGUUGUGAGACUCCACCUGUAGUAAGUGGGGUCGAGCAUGCGUAUGGUUACAUUUGGGCAACCCCUGCAGGGUGUACAUCUUAUCGAUAAGCCGUGUCCGCGGUUAUGGACGACUUGGAAUUGUAUGGCUUGAUCAUAGAACAACUUACACCUUAUACUUGUUGUUAAUAAUCUGAUAAUAACUUGUGUAGUAAUAUAACAUUACUACAACCAACAUAUAAUAAAAUUGUCAACCGUGGAGUGCCUUUUACAUUGCCUCUUCGCUUUGUUGAAG